rnacentral:rRNA from 1 species
AGCUCCAAAAGCAUAUAUUAAAGUUGUUGCGGUUAAAAAGCUCGUAGUUGGACUUCUGCUUUGGUUGGCUGGUCUACCCACUGGGUAAGUAUCUGGCAUGACUGAAGCAUGUGUUACAAAUAUACUACUGCACUUGACUGUGUGGUGUGGUAUUUAUCGCUUUUACUUUGAAAAAAUCAGAGUGUUCCACGCAGGCGGAUGUCUUGAAUAUGUGAGCAUGGAAUAAUGUGUUAAGGCUUUGGUUUGUUGUUGGUUCAAAACAUUGGGUAAUGAUGAAUAGGGAUAGUUGGGGGCACUUGUAUUUAAUUGUCAGAGGUGAAAUUCUUGGAUUUGUUAAAGACAAACUACUGCGAAAGCAUUUGCCAAAAAUGUUUUCA